CCUGUCCAGGCUACAGUGAGACCGUACCUCAAAAGUCCAAAGGAAGAGUGAGAGAUGGUUCCUCUGCUGGUGACUGGUUUUAAGAGGCUAGAGACAAGGACGUGUGAAGCUUUAUUCUGGCAACUGAGCCUUUGUGAAUUCUUUAUCCCUUUGAAGGUAAGAUGACAGCUCUUCCAAAAAUUGAAUCUGAAAUAAAUAUGCACACAUACAGUAUACAGAUGCAUACCCAGUUUUAUGUUCCCCACAUAUUACAUUCAUCUGCACACAAAUUCAAGGGCAUAUACAUGCAUACACAUGCCCUUCAUAUACCUACAUGUAUACCUUCACAGACAUACAUAUACAGAUACAUACAUAUACACACAAGGUUAUAUACACACAUGCAACCAUACAUUCACACAUAUAUGACACAUGCAUGCAUAUACAUAACCAUGCAUAUAUGCACACGUGUAAUGCAGAAUGCAUACACACAAAUACAUACAAGUAUAUACUUGUAUAAACAUAUAUAGAAACAAUAACAUACAUGCACACACACAUACAUAUACACAUAUUGACACAAAUACACAUGAACACAAACAUCCUGACAUAACCAAUAUACAUAUGCCACAUCUAUACACACAUGCAAACACAGUAAUGCAUAACACAUGUGCACACACAGAAACCCAUGCACUCACAAACAUGUACACACACAUGUACACACAUGAACUCAUAUACGAACACAUACAUAGACAUAUAUAUGCACACAAUAAACACACAUUUAUACAUACAAGUAUAAAUAUAUAAACACACAUACAUACACUGGGAUUACAGGUUUUUCUAAAAAAAAAAAAAACCUUUAGAAAUCAAAUGUAUUUAAUGGGGGCAGGGGAUGGCACACACAUGCCAGGUUGCGCACAUGGAAACCUGAGGACAACUGUCAGGCUUUGUGGUAGGUGCACCUACCCAUGGAGCCAUCCCUUUGACACUCAGUCUUUCUUAAUACAAUGACUGACACACAAUAGCUUUCUUUUAGAAAUGACAUCUGUAAUCAGCACUAUAGUAUUAGGUGUCGUUAUGGAGUUUUUCAAAAUUUGUUUCUGUUGAUUCUCUGCUUCCCUCUUCUCUUCCAUCCCCCAGACCUCUCGUACCCUUCCCUCCCAGCACGGCUUCUUUGCUACUUUUGACAAGUUUGUGUGUGUGUGUGUGUGUGUGUGUGUGUGUGUUUUUUUCACAAUGCUGCUAUUGGUCUUGCACGCUUGCUUUGAGUUUAUAUUGCACUCUGCUAGUCCACUCUAACAUGGCUGGAAAUACUCAGCUACUCUGACAAAGUCUCUGUAAAUCACAUGCUUUCCUCUUUAUUUUUAAGCAGCAAUAACACUUUUUUUUCUACUUCAGAAAAAUUAAAUAUGGGACUGGCAAGAUGGCUGAGUAGGUAGAGAUGUCUGCUGUCAAGACUUCCUGGAACCCCUGUCGGGGAAGGAGAGAAAAGAUUGCUGCAGGUUCUGGUUGUCCUCAGAUCUCCACACAUGCCCUUGGCCUCAACACACACACACACACACACACACACACACACACACACACACACACACACAAGAUCAAAUAUGCACAAUAAAUAAAUAAAUAAAAACACAGUUCUAGGGGUCAAGGAGAUGGCUCAAUGGUUAAGAGCACUGACUGCUGUUCCAUGGGACCUGGGUUUGAUUCUCAGCACCCAUAUGAUAUCUCAUUACUGUCUGUACUCCAGUCUGAACGGAUCUGACACGCUCUUCGGGCUACCAAAGAGAUAGGGCAUGUAAGUGGUUCAGACCAUAUAGGCAAAAUGCCCACACAUAAAACAAAAAUAAAUUAAAAACUUUCUAAAAACAAACACCUAUGAUUCUACUUAACAUAUAAGAGAAAUACAUAUACAUAUGGUCUUAAAAGCUAUAGUCAUUGCACUCUCCUGGCAGGGAGGCGGCAAUGAUCAUGAAGGUGGUUUUCUCGGGGAGGCUCAUCCAUUGCUGUGUGAGCCACCGCAUUUCCCCCAAAUCUGGGACACUCAGU
rnacentral:lncRNA from 1 species